CGCAGAGCCCCGGGAACUGUUACCUUGUUCCUUGACCUCCUUCUGUUGGUGGUCCUUUAUGAUAGCACCAAUGCUCGUCAUCUGAGGGCAUUUUGGUGACCAAUGUGGCCCUCCGCAAAUGUAGCAAUUUGUCUCCUUGCGCUGCUGGUGUGGCUGACUUGCCUUCUCGGCAAGUUCUUGUCUAAGUGACUUCCUGGGAAUGCGGGUGUCUCUGCUCCUUCCGCGUUCUCCCCCGCAUUUAGCAUAGUUACUUCUUAUCUCCUUCGCCUUGCCUCGGUCCUGCUUGAAGUUAGUUAGACUCUCAGCUUGUGAGAUAGCCUCAUUAAGAGUGGAAACCUGUCAGCGUUCCAACUCAGUUUUGGCCUAGCCUUGUAGUCCAUCUUUGAAGUAGAACAACAAGUCUCAUUGGGUGAGUUCGGGAAUUUGAAGCGUAAGGGUAGUGAAUUCCCUUAUGUAGGCCUUUAUGGAACCUGUAUGCUUCAAUUCUCGUAACCUCCUCAUGGCUUCAUCGAAGACAUUGCUGGGAAAGAACAUCUUUUUCAAUUUUGCUUUGAACUGUUCCCAUGUGCACAUCGUGCAAAGUCCCUCGCUGAUGUCCUGAUCCCUUCGUCUCCACCAUAGCAUUACGAAGACAUUGCUGCGAAAGAACAUCUUUUUGAACUCUGCUUUGAACUGCUCCCAUGUGCUCAUCGUGCAAAGUCCCUUACCAAUGUCCGCAUCCAUACGUCUCCACCACAGCAUUGCGUUCUCCGUUAAGUAGAUCACGACAGCUUGGAUCUUCAUCUCGUCGCUGCCUAUCCUGCUGCAUCACGAAUGGCUUUGAAGAUGGGUGGCUUGGGAGCGUCGAUCCUUACUUCGCGCUCUAUGGUCAGAGCAGCAUGUUUCUCUUGGUGUGCAACUUCCUCGAGCUCUUUCACUCUGGCGCUCAAGGCUUCUACCAGAUUUGUGAGUUUUUCUAUGGAAGCUUGAGCCUCUUCCUAUGCUUCCCGCUACUCGUCGAUGUCUUUGCGAAUGGUGUCGUUUUCCUCGAUUAAAGACUCCUUGAAGGAUUCAUAGUCACCUUCGAACUUGUUGAAGUGAUGGUCCAGCACCUUGGGUGUUCUGUGGGCACUCUCGACCCUGGUAACCAAUUCCAAUUCUGGAGUGAUGUUUGUGGGCAGUUCUUCUCGCUCCCAAUCACUCACUUCUGUUGUUGGAAGGUUGGUAGCAUCGCUUGGG
rnacentral:lncRNA from 1 species